GACGAACGCUGGCGGCAGGCCUAACACAUGCAAGUCGAACGAGUGGCGGACGGGUGAGUAAUGUCUGGGAAACUGCCCGAUGGAGGGGGAUAACUACUGGAAACGGUAGCUAAUACCGCAUACCAUCGGAUGUGCCCAGAUGGGAUUAGCUAGUAGGUGGGGUAACGGCUCACCUAGGCGACGAUCCCUAGCUGGUCUGAGAGGAUGACCAGCCACACUUGAACUGAGACGCUGACCUGACUCCUACGGUCGGCAGCAGUUGGGAAUAUUGCACAAUGGGCGCGAGCCUAAUGCAGCCAUGCCGCGUGUAUGAAGAAGGCCUUCGGGUUGUAUAGUACUUUCAGCGAGGAGGCGUUACUCGCAGAAGAGGCACCGGCUAACUCCGUGCCAGCAGCCGCGGUAAUUC
rnacentral:rRNA from 1 species